AUGUGUGAAAAAAAAAAAAAAAAAGGAGGGGCCUCCGAAAAGAAGGCGGCUGCUCCUGCUGGUAUGGGCCGCCUCGAGGAAGAGGCGCUGCGGCGGAAAGAACGGCUGAAGGCCCUCCGGGAGAAAACCGGGCGCAAGGACAGGGAAGAUGGGGAGCCACAGACCAAGCAGCUCAGAGAAGAGGAGAAGGAAGUUGGGAAGCACAGGGGACCCAGGCUUCGGAACUAUGUCCCAGAGGAUGAAGAUCUGAAAAGGAGGCGGGUCCCCCAGGCUAAACCUGUUGCAGUGGAGGAGAAGGUGAAGGAGCAGCUGGAGGCGGCCAAGCCGGAGCCUGUCAAUGAGGAAGUGGACCUGGCCAACCUGGCACUCCAGAAACCUGAUUGGGAUCUCAAGAGAGAUGUGGCCAAGAAGCUGGAGAAGCUAGAAAAGCGGACCCAGAGAGCAAUCGCAGAGCUGAUCCGUGAACGGCUAAAAGGCCAGGAGGACAGCUUGGCCUCUGCAGUGGACGCCACCACCGGACAAGAGGCUUGUGACUCUGACUGAGGUGUUCUCCAUGGGAAGAUAGUCUCAGGCAGGCGUGGGGUUAAGCUGGUCAGCAC